GGAGCAGCCCAGAGCCUGAAUCAGUAUGUGUGUUAGUGGAAGCGUCUGGAAAGGCGCGCGAUACAGGGUGACAGCCCCGUACACAAAAAUGCACAUGCUGUGAGCUCGAUGAGUAGGGCGGGACACGUGGUAUCCUGUCUGAAUAUGGGGGGACCAUCCUCCAAGGCUAAAUACUCCUGACUGACCGAUAGUGAACCAGUACCGUGAGGGAAAGGCGAAAAGAACCCCGGCGAGGGGAGUGAAAAAGAACCUGAAACCGUGUACGUACAAGCAGUGGGAGCACGCUUAGGCGUGUGACUGCGUACCUUUUGUAUAAUGGGUCAGCGACUUAUAUUCUGUAGCAAGGUUAACCGAAUAGGGGAGCCGAAGGGAAACCGAGUCUUAACUGGGCGUUAAGUUGCAGGGUAUAGACCCGAAACCCGGUGAUCUAGCCAUGGGCAGGUUGAAGGUUGGGUAACACUAACUGGAGGACCGAACCGACUAAUGUUGAAAAAUUAGCGGAUGACUUGUGGCUGGGGGUGAAAGGCCAAUCAAACCGGGAGAUAGCUGGUUCUCCCCGAAAGCUAUUUAGGUAGCGCCUCGUGAAUUCAUCUCCGGGGGUAGAGCACUGUUUCGGCAAGGGGGUCAUCCCGACUUACCAACCCGAUGCAAACUGCGAAUACCGGAGAAUGUUAUCACGGGAGACACACGGCGGGUGCUAACGUCCGUCGUGAAGAGGGAAACAACCCAGACCGCCAGCUAAGGUCCCAAAGUCAUGGUUAAGUGGGAAACGAUGUGGGAAGGCCCAGACAGCCAGGAUGUUGGCUUAGAAGCAGCCAUCAUUUAAAGAAAGCGUAAUAGCUCACUGGUCGAGUCGGCCUGCGCGGAAGAUGUAACGGGGCUAAACCAUGCACCGAAGCUGCGGCAGCGACGCUGAUGCGUUGUUGGGUAGGGGAGCGUUCUGUAAGCCUGCGAAGGUGUGCUGUGAGGCAUGCUGGAGGUAUCAGAAGUGCGAAUGCUGACAUAAGUAACGAUAAAGCGGGUGAAAAGCCCGCUCGCCGGAAGACCAAGGGUUCCUGUCCAACGUUAAUCGGGGCAGGGUGAGUCGACCCCUAAGGCGAGGCCGAAAGGCGUAGUCGAUGGGAAACAGGUUAAUAUUCCUGUACUUGGUGUUACUGCGAAGGGGGGACGGAGAAGGCUAUGUUGGCCGGGCGACGGUUGUCCCGGUUUAAGCGUGUAGGCUGGU
rnacentral:rRNA from 1 species